rnacentral:rRNA from 1 species
UACGUAGGGGGCAAGCGUUGUCCGGAUUUAUUGGGCGUAAAGAGCGUGUAGGCGGUUUGGUAGGUCCGCUGUGAAAACUCGAGGCUCAACCUCGAGACGCCGGUGGAAACCAUCAGGCUAGAGUCCGGAAGAGGAGAGUGGAAUUCCUGGUGUAGCGGUGAAAUGCGCAGAUAUCAGGAAGAACACCCGUGGCUAAGGCGGCUCUCUAGUACGGUACUGACGCUGAGGAGCGAAAGCGUGGGGAGCGAACAGGG